rnacentral:lncRNA from 1 species
GCUUUGCAGAGUGAUUAUCAGCACAGUUCCCUGCCCUGGAUAAGGAACAGCUACAGUCGCUGUUAAAUGUGCCUGAAAAGCAAUUUGCAAUCUUUGCAUUAGGCAUUUCGGCCGUGGAACCCCAGGCUCGGAGGACUGGGUGUGAGCGCUGCCCGGGAGAGGCUGACCUGCCGGGACCGGAGUGCCCGGGGACGCUGUGCCCCCACUUGCCCAACGUGCGGAAUCGGCUAAGCGCGUCGGCCUGCGCGGGGCACAAGGGACGACGCCCGCCUUUCUCUCUCCGAGAAGGAUCCCCAAACCUCACUCUCUUCACUCCUCCCCGCUAAAAAAAAAAAAAAAAAGAAAAGGGUAAAAAAAUCCCCCUCCCCCUCCCGGCCGCGGCAGCCUCUGCCUGGCAGGCGCGUGCUCCGAGGUUUCGCCGGGGUACUGCGCGGCUCCGUGACCCACCCGCCGACGGCGGUUCGGGCCCCGACCCGGGCGCUGCGGAGUCUCGAACGCCCGUGACGUGGAUUUUUCGCUCGUCAGGAAGCCGCCAUCCCUUCCUUCGUUCCUUGCGAGGAGCGACUAGAACCCGAGUUCUCUGAGCACACCGUGCCGUCAGCUGGCCCGUCACGCACUCGACUCCGCCACUCCCCUACUUGUUUUUCUGAGACUUGGGAAGCCUUCCUGAAAGGAUUUGUAAAAACUGGUUCUUGGAAAGGGGCUGCAGAAGACCUCCCGAGGUGGAUGUUACUGAGCCGCCCGGCGAGCACCAGCCGUGACAGGUCCGGGCCCGGCCGCGCGGAGCCGCGGGAGAACUGCCCUCCGCAGCCGGAAGGGGGCCGCGGGGAGCGCUCCUGGCCGGUGGCGGCGGGGGCGGGGGAGGCCGCGAGCCGAGGCGCUCCAACUCCGGCGAUGCCGCCUCGCCCUCCCCGCCGCGGUUGAUGCGGCACGUGCACGCCGCCGCCCGCACCAGGACCUGGGCCGGGUCGCACGGCUUGGCCCCCGGCCACCGCUUCGGCCUAGGAUUUCAGAUGCAUGCCAGGUUUCCACUGAUUGCCAGAACUCGAGAUCACUACACAUGGAUCCCCAAAAUCAACAUGGCAGUGGCAGUUCGUUAGUUGUGAUCCAGCAGCCUUCUUUGGAUAGCCGUCAGAGAUUAGACUAUGAGAGAGAGAUUCAGCCUACUGCUAUUUUGUCCUUAGACCAGAUCAAGGCCAUAAGAGGCAGCAAUGAAUACACAGAAGGGCCUUCGGUGGUGAAAAGACCUGCUCCUCGGACAGCACC